UGGGAUUUAGUGUAUUAAGGUAGCACGAAGAAUUUUGAGUUCUUAAGUUUAGGUUCAAAUCCUGUAAUCCCAG
rnacentral:tRNA from 1 species